AAUAGGUGUACCAAGUGCAGGACUCCGUAUUAGUCACCAUGUAGUUAUGUUUCGAUGCAAAAUAAGGGAGGCACAGGAAUUGCGGCCCUGCAUAUGUCCCCUGGGUGUCAUAGAAUUAUGACUUCACAGCACUAUUGUUAAUCCCCUUGUGGUGACAUCUCUACGCCCACGUGGGGUAGACUAAGUUAACAGUCUUGGUAAGAAUGAAAGACCAUGUUCAGCUAUAUGGCCUGAUUGAAUUGAGAUUGAAAUAGUGGCUGAUGAAGACAAGGAUGCUUCCAUUCAGCAGUUGAUUUCAUUGUAACUACUAUGAUGAUACUCGUAGAAAAAUGUUUGAUAUAGUUUGUGUCUCACUUACCGUUUAGUACCUACGGCAUCUAUUUCAUCAAUGAAAACAAUAGAUGGCGCAUGUUCUUCAGCUACCCGGAAUAACUCACGGACUAACUUUGGUCCAUCACCCUGUCGAAAAUGAAAAAUGACAUAAUCUGGUCAGAUCAUUUCAUAUCGUUUCGAUAACUAUAUUAUGUGAUGUAUGUGCACAGCUCUGAAGUUCUUAAACCAUCAUAAGUAUCAAAUUUUUAACUACAUAUAUCCAAGUUCCUAUAUCUUAUAAUUAGAGAUAUAAAAAUUAUUAAACAAAACAACAACAGUCCCUAAAAGGUGCUUACCAAAUAUUUCUGAAUAAGCUCAGACCCCACAACACGCAAGAAUGUGGCAGAAGUCUGAUUGGCAACGGCCUUGGCCAGCAGGGUCUUGCCUGUUCCAGGAGGUCCAUACAGAAUGACACCCUUGGGUGGCUUGAUGCCCAUCUCUUCGUAGUAUUCAGGAUGGGUCAGUGGCAAUUCCACUGAUUCCUUUAAAAUAUCAAACAGGUUUCAAGACAAGUAAGUACAUAUUUGGAAACACAAAUUAGAGCAUUAUGGUUGAUAAACUGU